CCUACGGGUGGCAGCAGUGGGGAAUAUUGGACAAUGGGCGAAAGCCUGAUCCAGCCAUGCCGCGUGUGUGAAGAAGGCCUUCGGGUUGUAAAGCACUUUCAGUGGGGAAGAAAGCCUUGGGGCUAAUACCCUCGAGGAAGGACAUCACCCACAGAAGCAGCACCGGCUAACUCCGUGCCAGCAGCCGCGGUAAUCCGGAGGGUGCGAGCGUUAAUCGGAAUUACUGGGCGUAAAGCGCGCGUAGGCGGUCUGAUAAGCCGGUUGUGAAAGCCCCGGGCUCAACCUGGGAACGGCAUCCGGAACUGUCAGGCUAGAGUGCAGGAGAGGAAGGUAGAAUUCCCGGUGUAGCGGUGAAAUGCGUAGAGAUCGGGAGGAAUACCAGUGGCGAAGGCGGCCUUCUGGACUGACACUGACGCUGAGGUGCGAAAGCGUGGGUAGCAAACAGGAUUAGAUACCCCGGUAGUC
rnacentral:rRNA from 1 species